UACGGGGGAUGCAAGCGUUAUUCGGAAUCAUUGGGCGUAAAGGGCACGCAGGCUGUCCUGCCAGUCAGAUGUGAAAGCCCGGGGCUUAACCUCGGACGUGCAUUUGAAACAGCAGGGCUUGAGUACGGUAGAGGAAAGCGGAAUUCCUGGUGUAGAGGUGAAAUUCGUAGAUAUCAGGAGGAACACCGGUGGCGAAGGCGGCUUUCUGGACCGAAACUGACGCUGAGGUGCGAAGGCGUGGGUAGCGAACAGG
rnacentral:rRNA from 1 species